rnacentral:rRNA from 1 species
GAUGAACGCUGGCGGCGUGCUUAACACAUGCAAGUCGAACGGUGAAGGCGGAGCUUGCUCUGCUGGAUCAGUGGCGAACGGGUGAGUAACACGUGAGCAAUCUGCCCCUGACUCUGGGAUAAGCGCUGGAAACGGCGUCUAAUACUGGAUACGAGCUGCGAAGGCAUCUUCAGCAGCUGGAAAGAACUUCGGUCAGGGAUGAGCUCGCGGCCUAUCAGCUUGUUGGUGAGGUAACGGCUCACCAAGGCGUCGACGGGUAGCCGGCCUGAGAGGGUGACCGGCCACACUGGGACUGAGAAACGGCCCAGACUCCUACGGGAGGCAGCAGUGGGGAAUAUUGCGCAAUGGGCGAAAGCCUGAUGCAGCAACGCCGCGUGAGGGACGACGGCCUUCGGGUUGUAAACCUCUUUUAGCAGGGAAGAAGCGAAAGUGACGGUACCUGCAGAAAAAGCGCCGGCUAACUACGUG